CACCGGGACCGGCGGCGGCUCUGGCGGGGCUGAGCGGGAACCGACAGCUGCAGCGCAGGGACGCCGUUCCCACCGUGCGCCGAGUCUGCCGCGCUCGGGCUUUCCUUGCUCGUACUUCCCGGUUUUACAGAGAGGAGGAGAGGUAUGAAACUCUGCGCCUUAACGAAUAAAAAGAAGAGAGCAAAUUUUCACGGCAGGUCACCUCAUUUCAUGGAAGCAGCAUAACACGUCUAUAGGAAAUGAACUAUUGAACACUGCCAGUUUAUGGACAUACCUUGCAUUUGAAGCUCCCACAAAAGUCUGGACAAUCAGAAGUGCUCAGAAAAGAAGUAUUAUGCUAAAAUGGGUGCAGAUUUAGGUAAAGAUCCAAAGCGGUAUUUUCCUCAUCACUUGUACCCUCAAAAACCCCCAAGCCUUGGCUUUGGAUACUUGCAUGAAAGCAGUGGCUGCAGGUGCCAAUCAUUUGGUAGUUCUCAAAAAAUCCUUAAGUUUAGGUGGAUUGGUUUUACAUUUGUGUCUUUACUCAGUGGUGGUUGGCUGCUGACCUCAGCAUUUUAAUAAGGCUCUAAUGUGUGAUGAAAGAAGCAAAUCAAACAGUACCAAGUGCUUGGUGGACUAACAGGAGUUGUUCAAAAGCAUUAGAUUUGGCAUCAUCUGGGAGUACUGAACCCCAAACAUGAGGAUGGCUAAGAACUGCAACAUGAAACUAACUAUAAGAUAAAAGUGAAACUUGUCAGCUCAAAUUUCAAGUGAGCGAAUUACAAAUUUUAAGGCAGAGUUUUGUUUUUAGUUCAACAUCCUUGCUUGUAAAGUUUCUGUGCAGAACAUAACCCGUGGCUGUGAAACUGUUUGCAAAUGAGUGCUUAAGGUGUUUUGGAAUUGUUAGAUGCUUUUUAUCAUUCUGUGGAUGAAUUUGAGGACGAACCAAAAUAUGAUGUACAAUUUUUCAUGCAAAGUUUUUACUUCCUUAAAUUUAGUCAUGUUCUUAGAAGGUAGAUGCAAAUAAUAAAUAAUAUCUGUAAACAUACUUGCGGAUUUGUAAGAAUAUUCUCCUGCAUAUUCACACAAAGUUCCAAGCCCUCUUUAAGCAACUUUGAAGAGCUUAUUUUCAUUGAGUCUUGUCACUUUUCACCUCUGGAUAAGAAUUCUUGUCUCUUUCUUUUGAGCAAUUUAUGUUUCCUAACAGAAUGAGAAGAGAAACAGUCUCCUGGUGUUUGUUGUGCUCAUUUUCCAAGAGCCAUAGUGUCUGGUUGAACUUGAAUCUCCUGAGGUUUCCAAGCAGCUGGGAGAAACUGAUGACAACUCGUGCUGCCCAUUAGUUCCUGAAGAGCAGAACUGAAACUGGCAGGAACAUUGGUAGCUGUACACUGCUAUAGUUUGGGUAAAUGAGAAGAGAAAAACAAAGCAACCUUGGUAUAUGUUGUCUUUGAGACCAAGCAGGUCUAGAAAAUAAAAAAAAAAACAGAGAUUAAUGUUUUGCAUCAAGUUAUUGAUGACUCCAAUCACUAUUCAUUGUGAAAAGUGUCUCAUUGACAACUUGUAAAUAGAUAUUUAGACAGGCUGGGUUUUGGGGGUUUGAUUUUUAAGCUUUGCUGUAUUUAAUCCAAGCAACUGGGCACUUCACACAUUUGUAUACAAAGUUCCCAUUAUUUACUGUGCUAAAUUAAGGGUGCAGCCACUGUAAAAGAAUUUUUACCUAAUACAUCCUUCUAAUCCUGGAUGCAAAGCAACUAGUUAAAAUUCCUGUUACCUUUGUCAUGUUCUGCAGGACAUGAGCAUGUUGUAUAUGUAAUUUAAACUGGUUUGUGCUUCAAGAAUGGAGAAUCUGGUUUUCCAUUAUGGUGCACAGCUUUCAGUCUGACUUGUCAGUCAAGGAUGCAGGAAUUAAUUAAUGUGUUAAUUUGCAAAAUCUUAGUGAAGAGGUAUAUUUCUGCAUCCUCCUAAAUGUGGCAGUCUUGAGAAGUUAUCUCUUUAAAGGAGGAAUUCUGAGACAGUGGUCAUCCAUAUCAGUUUCUAGUAACAUAAUCGUAUAGGAGUUUAGGCAACCUAAACAGGCAUAUGGUAGCUAAAACAUGAGAUUGCACAGCUGCAGUACUUCAACUUUUUUUUCAUUUAUUUCCAUUGUCUGAAGACAAGAAUUAAAAUACUUCCAUAGUCAUACUAUGAUGAUGUUGUACGGAUGUGCAAAAACCAGGUAAUGAUUCUUACAGACAGAUUUUUUUCCAUUUAAAAAAUGUUCCUGUAUGUUGUGUGUUGUGUUUUGAUUUAUCAUCUCCUAAGUAUGUAUCAUUAAAGAAAAGCAAUCAGUUCUUUGUUUGUAUUCCUACUCCUUAUUGAUGCUUAUGAAGUGAACUUUCACAUUGUAUCUUGAUUAUUCUAGAUUUAAGGAUUCUCAUAUAGUUUAAUGUAUUGAGAAUUACAAUGGAAAACAACUCAGUGUUGUUUCUUGUGUAUUGUUUCUUGUUUUAUUUCUGAUUUGUGGAGAUUCUUAUUUUCUUUUUUUUUUUUUUCUGAUUUCCAUUAGCGAAGUUUUGUUUCCAAUUCCAUGUAUUUCUUGGAAUCUCAGUUCCUAAAAUUUAUUUUUCAGUUAAUGAUUUUUUCUUUUUGAUUCUUGUUAAAUGCACUUUUUCUCCUCUGCAGGAAUUGUAGUUGAAAGAUUUAUUAGGAGAACAGUGACACAGAAAUACACAGUUUUCUGGAGCUGAGGAACUAAUCUUGAAUAAAAUGUUAAUUGUUGAGGUAGCAACAUAGAAGUGUAGUGCCUUUCAGAUGACUUUCCAAUUUCUAUUUAUACUUCCAAAUUAAUCUAACAAGUUUUGAAGGUAUACCCUGGGAUGCUGUACAGUCUCAAAAAAUGGCUUGAAAUUUUCCCAUUCAUUUAGAGCAGACUGUAAGUAUUUAUCAUGGGAAAUUACCUUUUUUCCACUUUCCUCAUCUCAUAAUUUUGUUUUCUGUUUUUAUACUUUACCAUGAAUUUACUUGUACAUUUAAAGCUCAAAGUUUAUGAGGUCUAAUAAAUUGUCAUGUCUUUGCACAACUUGAGGAGAUUGGACCUGCUUGAAAGAUGUAAGUGUGAGGGUGUAACUCUGCCAUAAAUCAUCAAAAAGUACAUAGCAUAGAUAGCUAUAAUGACUUGCAUAUAUGCAACUGACUUUUCUAACAUCUUCUUUAUUAAGAAAAAGCGUUUGUGAAGGUCACAAAGGCUUUCAAACCCAUUUUGUUUCUCUUGCUGUCCUUUGCCCUUCUUGUUGCAUAUUGUUUUUCUCUUGAAAGCAAUUAACCUAUGCUGAUACCUAUGUCAGGUUAGUCUGCUGUAAAAAAUGAAUGUAAUAGAAUAUAACAAAGACCUACUCUUCCAUUCUUAUACUAAUUUUAACUUUCAUUGUGAUCUCUGUUUCAGAACCUUCACAGAGCAAAAAAUGAUUUGAGAAAAAAAUUGAAAAGGUCAUUCCACAUUCUUCAUCCAAAAGGCAAAGAAAAUAUCAUGUAUUCAAAAUGGAAUUGGAUUGAAAAUUUGGAUAUGAGUGGUGGAUAGUGAACAGUUGUGGGGUUUUUUUUUUUGUUUUCAAAAUACAUGGAACUUCAGAUGAGAAUGUCUGCUUCAACACUUUAUUUUCUACCACUAGAUGCAGUGGUUCUCAAGUUGUGACUGAUCAACUUACACUCGAAGUUAAGUUAGAUUGCCCGCUUUUAAUAGCAGCACGUUUUCCAUUCAUCUUUGUUUAUGAUGACUCUGCUAAGUGUUCUUAUCCUUUAUGCUAAAUAAACACUAAUGUGUUGUGAA